rnacentral:rRNA from 1 species
CUGGCGGCGUGCUUAACACAUGCAAGUCGAACGAGACGAUUUAGAAGCUUGCUUUUAUGAGUCGAGUGGCAAACGGGUGAGUAACGCGUAGACAACCUGCCGCAAAGAUGGGGACAACAGUCCGAAAGGACUGCUAAUCCGAAUGUUGUGUAUCCUCCGCAUGGAGGACGCAUGAAAGAUGGCCUCUACUUGUAAGCUAUCACCUAGAGAUGGGCCUGCGUCUGAUUAGCUAGUUGGUGGGGCAACGGCCUACCAAGGCGACGAUCAGUAGCCGGUCUGAGAGGAUGAACGGCCACAUUGGAACUGAGACACGGUCCAGACUCCUACGGGAGGCAGCAGUGGGGAAUCUUCCGCAAUGGACGAAAGUCUGACGGAGCAACGCCGCGUGAACGAUGACGGCCUUCGGGUUGUAAAGUUCUGUUAUACGGGACGAAUGGCGUAGCGGUCAAUACCCGUUACGAGUGACGGUACCGUAAGAGAAAGCCACGGCUAGCUACGUG